rnacentral:rRNA from 1 species
CCUACGGGCGGCUGCAGUGAGGAAUAUUGGUCAAUGGCCGUGAGUCUGAACCAGCCAAGUAGCGUGAAGGAUGACUGCCCUAUGGGUUGUAAACUUCUUUUAUAUGGGAAUAAAAUGUUCCACGUGUGGGUUUUUGUAUGUACCAUAUGAAUAAGGAUCGGCUAAUUCCGUGCCAGCAGCCGCGGUAAUACGGAGGGUCCGAGCGUUAUCCGGAUUUAUUGGGUUUAAAGGGAGCGUAGGUGGGUUGUUAAGUCAGUUGUGAAAGUUUGCGGCUCAACCGUAAGAUUGCGGUGGAAACUGGCAGUCUUGAGUGCAGGAGAGGUAGGCGGAAUUCGUGGUGUAGCGGUGAAAUGCUUAGAUAUCACGAAGAACUCCGAUUGCGAAGGCAGUUCACUGGACUGCAACUGACACUGAGGCUCGAAAGUGUGGGUAUCGAACAGGAUUAGAUACCCGUGUAGUC